rnacentral:rRNA from 1 species
AGCGAACGCUGGCGGCAGGCUUAACACAUGCAAGUCGAGCGGGCGUAGCAAUACGUCAGCGGCAGACGGGUGAGUAACGCGUGGGAACAUACCUUUUGGUUCGGAACAACACAGGGAAACUUGUGCUAAUACCGGAUAAGCCCUUACGGGGAAAGAUUUAUCGCCGAAAGAUUGGCCCGCGUCUGAUUAGCUAGUUGGUGAGGUAAUGGCUCACCAAGGCGACGAUCAGUAGCUGGUCUGAGAGGAUGAUCAGCCACAUUGGGACUGAGACACGGCCCAAACUCCUACGGGAGGCAGCAGGUGGGGAAUA